rnacentral:lncRNA from 1 species
UCAUUCACAUAUAUUAUUAUAUGAAUUUAAGAUAUUUGAAUACAACGUUUAAGUACAUUUAUACAUUUGCCUUGACAAACAAUAAUUCCCGAGUGAUGCGUUAGCAAUUACAGGAAUGUGUGAACAGUAAAGGAAUACUGUUCACUAUUUAUAGGCACAGGACACAGCUCAUGAGGAAUUACAAUUAUGCCCCUCAUAAAAGUUUACAACAAUGAAUCAGACCUUUGAAGGCUAAAAGGUCAUUUUAUCUUUAAGUCGGUUCGACCCUUCGUCUUCGGAUAUGCUGUAGUUCCGAAGCUUCGUGAACGGUGUCUUCGGCAUCAUGUUCAAGCAGCUUCAGCUGAAGCUGUUUCUUUUUGUAGGACCUUCGGCGACGAAGCAUGGUCCCAACAGUUCCCAUUAACAUAAUGAUCUUAUCAUGAACAUAAAUAACAUAACAAAAUAAUAGGAACAUGGAUAUAAUGAAAUAUUAACCCAAAACCAUAUAAAGCAAUAACAUAGCUACCCAAUUGAUUUAGGGAUAAACAAGGUAAAAAGGAUAACCAGUCUAGGGUGACCUAUUAGGUCCCAUCAAAAUUAAACCUAUGCAUUGAUAAGUGAUAAUAAAGAACAUUGGGUAAAUGAAAGUGAUCAAGGGCACAACUUACCUGGCACUUGAGAUUCCAUGUACUAGGAUGAUUCUUCAGAUCCUCGAAACCUCGCGCUAGUCGUAGCAAUACAAACAAACAUGGUAUAGAUAAAAUCAACAUCACACCAAACAUGAGAACAAAUUGAAUAAUAAUGAUCUACGCGAAGCUACGAGAUCGCGGGAUCAAGAACCACUAGGAUCAGAGUUAUGAUUAAGGAGUUAUGAUUUUAUAGAAGAUCUGUGUGAUUAGAAUAUUAAACUAUAUUAUAAAUUGGUUAAUAUAAAUCAUAUGAGAGGUUAUUCUAUAAAUAAUUAUCUCAAUUUUAAUCUAAGUUAUAAAUUAACCAUAGAUCAUAUUCCAGUAGUUUAUAAGCAGUUUAACCAGACUAACCAACAUUAGUUGAAUACAGAUGUAAUUAUAAAAUAAUGAUACAUGGUACAAUAAAUGUUGUUAUUGCAUAGUACAUACUUAUACGAGACUAACGCAACUGGAACGGAUCAAAUCAGAGUUAAAAUGGAGGAGUUAUGAAUUUAUAAAGUUUUAAAUGUUGGAUAAAAGAUUAAUUAGGAUAUUAAUUUUAAUGUGGCUUUCAUGUCAAAACAGUGGCACUAAUUGUAAUUGAUAAACAAUAAUAUUACAAAAUUAUAGGACUGAAAUGGGUCAAUUUGGACUAAAUAUGGAUUUUCUAAGGAUUAAAUAAGUUUUCUGGAUUUAUCUUAAUACUAAAAAUCAAUUUAUAUGUAAUUAAUUAUUCAUUUUCAUUGUUCUCUGAACUGCGCGCUAAAUACUGGAAAGUCCAGGGGCUCUCGCGCAACUUGCAGUAAGACUCAGGCAACAACAGGACGUACUGCGGGUUGAUUUGGUGUAACAGCGAGGGUUCUUAUGUAAAAUGGGCACGGCCGAGGGAACCACUUGAUCUGAGCUGUCAGAUCAAAAUAGACGACCCAGAUUAUAUCCUCGACGAAUGAACCGGUACUCGACAGCAGCAGUCGGAUCUAUCACCUACGGUCUAGAUUUGAUUUCACGACGAGUUACUCUAACACCCAAUCUUGGUCGCACACAGGGAUAUCCACGGUCCACAUGCCCCCACUGAAACGUUAUCCACUAACCCUCAUCCCCACCAUUGAUCUAAGGAUCAAUGGCAACUGCUCAUCUUCUUCCCUACCAUGACACCUAGCGCCGCAAUGCCCCAGCGGCCGUGCUGUGCACCGACGUGCCCCAAAACCGGUGACCCCCCACCCAAUCCGACUACUACAAUGUGUAAACAAGGGCGGAGCUCAUGGUGAGUAAGGUUAGCGACGUCUUACCGGCUAUGGAGUCGACGACGUGGUUGACCACGUCAGAUGGCGGAUCCGUGGCCACCGCAUCAGACCGACGAGCAAAUUCGGACGAGUCCGCCCAUCACCUCGCUCCCGGGAGUUACCUCUAGGUUUGCUGCACACCGGUAGUCCCUCGCCCUCCUCCCGAGGCCGGACCGUCAGCCAAGGUAGGAUCCGAACGCGACGGCGACGAGCUCGGCUUGCAGCUGCCCAGCGGCGAACCACGGACUCCAUAGGAAACAAACCCAAUACCCCGAUGAACUUCUAUGCUCAUCAGCGAACCUCUCUAGCAGGCCCUGGUGCCGCGACCUUCGCUCCACAUGAUCCGACGAACUCCCCCUUUCUCUCUCCUCGAGUGCGGCUCCAGAUCUCCCCUGUUGGUUUCCUGCGCUCACCCUCUCUCUCCAAUGGCCACGACACACCAUGGGCGAACGCGCUGCCUUACUUCUGGUUGACUAGGGCGGUGAGUUCCAGGGCCAUGAUCGCUCCUCUUUUAUGCGCAGCGAACGAGUGGUCAAUUCCCCUCCGGACUGCAAGGGAUCCGCACCCCACGGAUCUCUCCGUCCACUGCGCGCGCGUCUGGUAGGAGGAGUAACGUGAAGCUAGGCAGUGGGUCCCGCCAGCGGCCAGCCCCAUCCAUCCGUUGGCCGCGUGAGCGAGGGACUUCGGUGGAUCCUGGCGCGAUUCAGUUGCGCAGCUGAGCGGAUCUUGACCACCAGCGCGC